AUUGAACGCUGGCGGCAGGCCUAACACAUGCAAGUCGAACGAGUGGCGGACGGGUGAGUAAUGUCUGGGAAACUGCCUGAUGGAGGGGGAUAACUACUGGAAACGGUAGCUAAUACCGCAUACCAUCAGAUGUGCCCAGAUGGGAUUAGCUAGUUGGUGGGGUAAAGGCUAACCAAGGCGACGAUCCCUAGCUGGUGUGAGAGGAUGACGAGCCACACUGGAACUGGGACACGGUCCAGAUUCCUCCGGGAGGCGGCGGUGGGGAAUAGUGCACAAUGGGCGCAAGCCGUAUGCAGACAUGCCGAGUGGAUGAAGAGGUCCUUCGGGUUGUAAAGUACUUUCAGCGGGGAGGCGUUACCCGCAGAAAAAGCGCCGGCUAACUCCGUGCCAGCAGCCGCGGUAAUAC
rnacentral:rRNA from 1 species